CAGUCGCCACGGGAAUACGAAGGGGGCUAGCGUUGCUCGGAAUCACUGGGCGUAAAGGGCGCGUAGGCGGCCGAUCAAGCCAGAGGUGAAAGCCCGGGGCUCAACCCCGGAUGUGCCUUUGAGACUGCAGGGCUAGGACGUCGGAGAGGUGAGUGGAAUUCCGAGUGUAGAGGUGAAAUUCGUAGAUAUUCGGAAGAACACCAGUGGCGAAGGCGGCUCACUGGACGACUGUUGACGCUGAGGUGCGAAAGCGUGGAGAGCAAACAGGAUUAGAUACCCCCGUAGUUCCUGUCUCUUAUAC
rnacentral:rRNA from 1 species